UAUGUUAUUCGAGGAUACCAAAAAGGGAUUGCAUCUGUAGACUGCUGAAACGGUAUGGGGUUUUUAGUUAACUCAAUUGGAUCAAUUCGUAAAAAUUUAAACAUUUCUACCAAUUCCUUUGGCGUCAACACAGAAUCUACGUCUCGAACACCGUUCUCUGAAAAUUCAUCACGACUGGCCUCAAGCUUCUUGUCAAAGCAAGGCAUGAGACUCAAAUGCCAAACAUCAUUACGUUGCAUACUGAAUUGUUGUACGGCCCAAUCCUUCAAAAUACGACCGCACGCCUGCUGAGGUGAACGAACACGAGACAAAUUAGGGAUCAAGUUAGAGUGAGUUUUCUCAACGUAACAUAUCCACCCUGGACAAGAUGAAGACAAAAUGGGAAGAACAGCAUUCUCGUUAAUGCCCGAAUUUGAUGAAGUAUUAGAAUGAACCCCUGAAAUUUGUGAAGUUGAAUGAGGAAUGAGUGGAUGUUCGUUUACGACGGAAUUGGUAACCUGGUU